rnacentral:rRNA from 1 species
UACUCAGUUCAGAUUGCAGGCUGCAACCCGCCUGCAUGAAGUCGGAAUUGCUAGUAAUCGCGGAUCAGCAUGCCGCGGUGAAUGCGUUCCCGGGCCUUGUACACACCGCCCGUCACACCACCCGAGUCGUCUGCACCCGAAGUCGCCGGCCUAACCUCGUGAGGGAGGCGCCGAAGGUGUGGAGGGGUAAGGGGGGGUGAAGUCGUAACAAGGUAAC